UACGGAGGGUGCAAGCGUUAUCCGGAUUCACUGGGUUUAAAGGGUGCGUAGGUGGGUUGGUAAGUCAGUGGUGAAAUCUCCAGACUUAACUUGGAAACUGCCAUUGAUACUAUCAAUCUUGAAUACCGUGGAGGUCAGCGGAAUAUGUCAUGUAGCGGUGAAAUGCUUAGAUAUGACAUAGAACACCAAUUGCGAAGGCAGCUGGCUACACGAAUAUUGACACUGAUGCACGAAAGCGUGGGGAUCAAACAGG
rnacentral:rRNA from 1 species